CUCCAGCAGACCCUCCCUCCCAGACCCUCCCACCUCCUGGACAGCAUCCAUGUUGAAGGCAACUUCAACAUGGAUGCUGUCCAGGAGGUGGGAGGGACUGGGAGGGAGGGUCUGCUGGAG